rnacentral:misc_RNA from 1 species
GAUGAAGAACGUAGCGAAAUGCGAUAAGUAAUGUGAAUUGCAGAAUUCGGUGAAUCAUCGAAUCUUUGAACGCACAUUGCGCCCAUUAGUAUUCUAGUGGGCAUGCCUGUUCGAGCGUCAUUUCAACCCUUAAGCCUCUGUUGCUUAGCGUUGGGAGCCUACCUACCCGGUAGAUCCUCAAAGUUAGCUGGCAGGGUCGAGGUUCGCCCUAAGCGUAGUAGUUCUUUCUCGCUUCUGCGGCUGCCUAGGCCAUCGCCACAAGCCUUUUAAACUUCAAUGGUUGACCUCGGAUCAGGUAGGAAUACCCGCUGAACUUAAGCAUAUCAAUAAGCGGAGGA